GAUGAACGCUGGCGGCGUGCCUAACACAUGCAAGUCGAACGAAGCGCCUUACCGGAUUCUUCGGAUGAAGGUCUGGUGACUGAGUGGCGGACGGGUGAGUAACGCGUGGGUAACCUGCCCUGUACAGGGGGAUAACAGCUGGAAACGGCUGCUAAUACCGCAUAAGCGCACGAGGAGACAUCUCCUUGUGUGAAAAACUCCGGUGGUACAGGAUGGGCCCGCGUCUGAUUAGCUGGUUGGCAGGGUAACGGCCUACCAAGGCAACGAUCAGUAGCCGGUCUGAGAGGAUGAACGGCCACAUUGGAACUGAGACACGGUCCAAACUCCUACGGGAGGCAGCAGUGGGGAAUAUUGCACAAUGGGGGAAACCCUGAUGCAGCAACGCCGCGUGAGUGAAGAAGUAUUUCGGUAUGUAAAGCUCUAUCAGCAGGGAAGAUAAUGACGGUACCUGACUAAGAAGCUCCGGCUAAAUACGUGCCAGCAGCCGCGGUAAUACGUAUGGAGCAAGCGUUAUCCGGAUUUACUGGGUGUAAAGGGUGCGUAGGUGGCAGUGCAAGUCAGAUGUGAAAGGCCGGGGCUCAACCCCGGAGCUGCAUUUGAAACUGCAUAGCUAGAGUACAGGAGAGGCAGGCGGAAUUCCUAGUGUAGCGGUGAAAUGCGUAGAUAUUAGGAGGAACACCAGUGGCGAAGGCGGCCUGCUGGACUGUUACUGACACUGAGGCACGAAAGCGUGGGGAGC
rnacentral:rRNA from 1 species